rnacentral:rRNA from 1 species
UGGCGCACGGGUGAGUAACGCGUAGACAAUCUGCCCUUCAGUCUGGGACAACUUUUCGAAAGGAGAGCUAAUACCGGAUAACAAUGUUUGACAUAAGUUAAAUAUUUGAAAGCUUUAUGUGCUGAAGGAGGGGUCUGCGUCCCAUUAGCUAGUUGGUGAGGUAAAGGCUUACCAAGGCAACGAUGGGUAACGGGUUUGAGAGGACGAUCCGUCACACUGGAACUGAGACACGGUCCAGACUCCUACGGGAGGCAGCAGUGGGGAAUAUUGCACAAUGGAGGAAACUCUGAUGCAGCAAUGUCGCGUGAGUGAAGAAGGCCCUUGGGUCGUAAAGCUCUUUUAUGGGGGAAGAUGAUGACGGUACCCCAGGAAUAAGCACCGGCUAACUACGUGCCAGCAGCCGCGGUAAUACGUAGGGUGCGAGCGUUGUUCGGAAUUACUGGGCGUAAAGGGCGCGCAGGCGGAAUAGUAAGUCGGAGGUGAAAGCCCGGGGCUCAACCCCGGAGGGUCUUUCGAAACUGCUAAUCUAGAGAGGGUCAG